rnacentral:lncRNA from 1 species
AGUUCAGCCUAGAGGAUGGUGCUGCCCACAGUGGGCUGGGUCUUAUGUAUCAGUUAACAAUCAAGACAAUCUUCCACAGACAUGCUCGCAGGUCAAUCUAGACUAUCCUAUCUCAGGGGUCCUUCCUUUCAUUGUACCAGUAAUUGUUCUCUGCCUGCUUGUGAUUUGCUGUCUCAGAUGCAACUUCAGUGAGCAUCCCUGAGCAACUCUGCCAGUGAGAUUGCUCAGCAGGUAAAGUCUGGUGACUUGAGUUUGGUCCCUGAACACACAAGGUGGAAGAAGAAAAUCAAAUGCUCCAAGUUAUCCUCUGAGUCCACAUCCCACAUGCAAAUGCACGGACACAGUGAACAAAUGCAUGCAACCAUACAAACUAAAAAGAGCAUUUUCUUAUAUGUUUUGCAAUAACAUUUCAAAUGAAAGCAUUUAUAUGCUUUUUAUUUAUGACUUCAAUGUGACUUGCUAUUUCUUGCAAAAUCCACUGUUUUUG